UACGUAGGGUGCGAGCGUUAAUCGGAAUUACUGGGCGUAAAGCGUGCGCAGGCGGUUUUGUAAGACAGAUGUGAAAUCCCCGGGCUUAACCUGGGAACUGCGUUGGAAACUGAAAGACUAGAGUGCGGCAGAGGGGGGUAGAAUUCCACGUGUAGCAGUGAAAUGCGUAGAUAUGUGGAGGAAUACCGAUGGCGAAGGCAGCCCCCUGGGUCGACACUGACGCUCAUGCACGAAAGCGUGGGUAGCAAACAGG
rnacentral:rRNA from 1 species